GCCGAAAUGGCGAAAUGGCAGACGCGGAGCACUCAAAAUGCUUUUCUCGAAAGGGAGUGUGGGUUCAAGUCCCACUUUCGGCA
rnacentral:tRNA from 1 species